rnacentral:lncRNA from 1 species
UCGGCCGGCGUUGGGAGCUCUGUCCCGGACAAGUUGAGGCUUCCUCGGGGAAGCGAGAUGAAGAUAUGGAGGAGGUUGAGCGAUAUGGCAUCUUGUUUAAUUUCUGCCAAUCAAGACGAGAGGAAGACGACUCCCAAACUGGCAUGA